UGGGGAAUAUUGGACAAUGGGGGGAACCCUGAUCCAGCCAUGCCGCGUGUGUGAAGAAGGCCUUAUGGUUGUAAAGCACUUUAAGCGAGGAGGAGGGUACUGGUAUUAAUACUACCAGCUACUGGACGUUACUCGCAGAAUAAGCACCGGCUAACUCUGUGCCAGCAGCCGCGGUAAUACAGAGGGUGCAAGCGUUAAUCGGAAUUACUGGGCGUAAAGCGCGCGUAGGUGGUUCGUUAAGUUGAAUGUGAAAGCCCCGGGCUCAACCUGGGAACUGCAUCCAAAACUGGCGAGCUAGAGUAGGGCAGAGGGUGGUGGAAUUUCCUGGGUAGCGGUGAAAUGCGUAGAUAUAGGAAGGAACACCAGUGGCGAAGGCGACCACCUGGGCUCAUACUGACACUGAGGUGCGAAAGCGUGGGGAGCAAACAGG
rnacentral:rRNA from 1 species